rnacentral:rRNA from 1 species
UGGGGAAUAUUGGACAAUGGGCGCAAGCCUGAUCCAGCAAUGCCGCGUGAGUGAUGAAGGCCUUAGGGUUGUAAAGCUCUUUCGCACGCGACGAUGAUGACGGUAGCGUGAGAAGAAGCCCCGGCUAACUUCGUGCCAGCAGCCGCGGUAAUACGAAGGGGGCUAGCGUUGUUCGGAAUUACUGGGCGUAAAGGGCGCGUAGGCGGCCUGUUUAGUCAGAAGUGAAAGCCCCGGGCUCAACCUGGGAAUAGCUUUUGAUACUGGCAGGCUUGAGUUCCGGAGAGGAUGGUGGAAUUCCCAGUGUAGAGGUGAAAUUCGUAGAUAUUGGGAAGAACACCGGUGGCGAAGGCGGCCAUCUGGACGGACACUGACGCUGAGGCGCGAAAGCGUGGGGAGCAAACAGAUUAGAUACCCUGGUAGUCCACGCCGUAAACGNUGAAUGCUAGACGUCGGGGUGCAUNCACUUCGGUGUCGCCGCUAACGCAUUAAGCAUUCCGCCUGGGGAGUACGGCCGCAAGGUUAAAACUUAAAGGAAUUGACGGGGUCAUAGCUGUUUCCU